CCCCGCCAUCUCCCUCUUCCUCUCUCCCUCUCCCUCUCCCUCUCCCUCUCUCUAUCAAAAAGCUAAACUACUCAGCGUCCAAUUAAGAUGCCGCAGCAGGUUCUGCCUGACUUCUCCAACUCAGUGAAGCUCAAGUAUGUGAAACUUGGGUACCAGUACCUCGUCAAUCACAUCCUCACCUUCCUUCUGGUUCCCAUCAUGGCAGCCGUCGCCGUUGAGCUCCUCCGCUUGGGCCCCGACGAGCUCCUCACCAUCUGGAGAUCUCUCCACUUCGAUCACCUCCAAGUCCUCUGCUCCUCCUUCCUCGUCAUCUUCAUCUCCACUUUCUACUUCAUGUCCAAGCCUCGCUCCAUCUACCUCGUCGACUACGCCUGCUUCAAGCCCUCCUUCACCUUCCGCGUCCCUUUCGCCACUUUCAUGGAACACACCCGCCUCAUCUACGAGAACGACCCCAAUAGCGUCGAGUUCCAAAUGCGUAUCCUCGAACGCUCUGGCCUCGGCGAGGAAACCUGCCUUCCUCCCGCCAAUCACUACAUCCCGCCAAACCCUAACAUGGAAGCAGCCAGAGAAGAAGCCGAGCUCGUCAUCUUCUCCGCCAUUGAUGAUUUGAUGAAGAGGACCGGUAUUAAACCCAAAGACAUCGAUAUUCUCAUCCUCAACUGCAGCCUCUUCUCGCCUACUCCUUCGCUGUCUGCAAUGAUAGUUAACAAAUACAAGAUGAGGAGCAACAUAAAGAGCUUCAACCUCUCCGGCAUGGGGUGCAGCGCCGGCAUUAUCUCCAUUGAUCUGGCCAGAGACCUUCUCCAGGUUCACCCCAAUUCAUACGCGCUGGUUGUCAGCACCGAGAUCAUUACGCCAAACUACUACAGAGGGACUCAGCGGUCUAUGCUUCUCCCCAACUGCUUGUUCCGGAUGGGUGCUGCCGCGAUUCUCCUGUCGAACCGCAGGAAAGACCGUAUCCGAGCCAAGUACCGGCUCGUCCACGUCGUUCGGACCCAUAAAGGCGAUGACGAUAAGGCCUACCGGUGCGUGUACGAGGAAGAAGACCAGCAAGGGAAGGUCGGAAUCUCGUUGUCGAAAGAUCUCAUGAGGAUCGCCGGCGAAGCGCUGAAGUCUAACAUAACCACCAUCGGACCACUGGUGCUUCCGGCGUCGGAGCAGCUUCUCUUCUUGUUCACGCUCAUAGGGCGUAAGAUCAUAAACCAUAAGUGGAAACCCUACAUUCCCGACUUCAAACAAGCCUUUGAGCACUUCUGCAUCCAUGCUGGGGGGCGAGCUGUGAUCGACGAACUGCAGAAAAACCUGCAGCUCUCGGCGGAGCACGUGGAGGCCUCCAGAAUGACUCUGCACCGAUUCGGGAACACUUCUUCUUCGUCGCUGUGGUAUGAGUUGAACUAUAUUGAGACCAAAGGGAGGAUGAAGAAGGGAGAUAGGGUUUGGCAGAUAGCUUUUGGGAGUGGAUUCAAGUGCAACAGUGCGGUGUGGAAGUGCAAUCGCAACUUAAAAGUUCCGUGCGAUGGGCCUUGGGUUGACUGCAUUGAUAGGGCAUUGAUGGUUCUAGAGUGGAGAAAGUUUUGGAAUCAGUUCAUAUUGCUGCCAAUAAGAAAAUUGUUCCUGGGGAUGUGUCUACAAUGGUUCCUGGUGGCAUCCGAAUGGGAACCCCAGCUCUCACAUCCACGGGAUUCAUUAAGGAGGAUUUUGCAGAAGUAGCCAAAUUUUUUGAUGCUGCAGUGAAAUUGGCUGUGAAGAUCAAGACCGAUACAAAAGGAACAAAGUUGAAGGAUUUGUGGCAAACAUGCAGUCAGAUGUCCAUAUUCAAUCCAAUAUUGCAAAGCUUCGGCAUGAUGUUGAGGAGUAUGCUAAGCAAUUUCCAACAAUUGGUUUUGAGAAGGAGACAAUUUCCAACAUAUAUUGAGGAAUCCUCAAUUCU